AGCGAACGCUGGCGGCAGGCCUAACACAUGCAAGUCGAACGAACUCUUCGGAGUUAGUGGCGGACGGGUGCGUAACACGUGGGAACGUGCCUUUAGGUUCGGAAUAACUCAGGGAAACUUGUGCUAAUACCGAAUGUGCCCUUCGGGGGAAAGAUUUAUCGCCUUUAGAUCGGCCCGCGUCUGAUUAGCUAGUUGGUGAGGUAAAGGCUCACCAAGGCGACGAUCAGUAGCUGGUCUGAGAGGAUGAUCAGCCACAUUGGGACUGAGACACGGCCCAAACUCCUACGGGAGGCAGCAGUGGGGAAUCUUGCGCAAUGGGCGAAAGCCUGACGCAGCCAUGCCGCGUGAAUGAUGAAGGUCUUAGGAUUGUAAAAUUCUUUCACCGGGGACGAUAAUGACGGUACCCGGAGAAGAAGCCCCGGCUAACUUCGUG
rnacentral:rRNA from 1 species